UACAGAGGGUGCAAGCGUUGUUCGGAAUUAUUGGGCGUAAAGGGCGCGUAGGCGGUUCGGCAAGUCUCUAGUGAAAUCUCUGGGCUCAACUCAGAGUCUGCUGGGGAAACUGCCGGGCUAGAGUGCGGUAGGGGAGACUGGAAUUCCUGGUGUAGCGGUGGAAUGCGCAGAUAUCAGGAGGAACACCGAUGGCGAAGGCAGGUCUCUGGGCCGCAACUGACGCUGAGGAGCGAAAGCAUGGGGAGCGAACAGG
rnacentral:rRNA from 1 species